rnacentral:rRNA from 1 species
UACAGAGGGGGCAAGCGUUGUUCGGAAUUACUGGGCGUAAAGGGCGCGUAGGCGGCCUGUUAAGUCGAACGUGAAAUCCCCGGGCUCAACCCGGGAACUGCGUCCGAUACUGGCAGGCUUGAAUCCGGGAGAGGGAUGCGGAAUUCCAGGUGUGGCGGUGAAAUGCGUAGAUAUCUGGAGGAACACCGGUGGCGAAGGCGGCAUCCUGGACCGGCAUUGACGCUGAGGCGCGAAAGCCAGGGGAGCAAACGGG